rnacentral:piRNA from 1 species
UAUGGUUCCCAUAGGCGAUGA